GGAAGAUUGCCAGAGUGGUAAUGGCCCAGUUUUGAAAACUGAGCGCGGUACUAUCCGACAAAGGUUCGAUCCCUUUAUCUUCCG
rnacentral:tRNA from 1 species